UAGAGUUUGAUCCUGGCUCAGAUUGAACGCUGGCGGCAGGCUUAACACAUGCAAGUCGAGCGGUAGCACAGGGGAGCUUGCUCCCCGGGUGACGAGCGGCGGACGGGUGAGUAAUGUCUGGGAAACUGCCUGAUGGAGGGGGAUAACUACUGGAAACGGUAGCUAAUACCGCAUAACGUCGCAAGACCAAAGAGGGGGACCUUCGGGCCUCUUGCCAUCAGAUGUGCCCAGAUGGGAUUAGCUAGUAGGUGGGGUAAUGGCUCACCUAGGCGACGAUCCCUAGCUGGUCUGAGAGGAUGACCAGCCACACUGGAACUGAGACACGGUCCAGACUCCUACGGGAGGCAGCAGUGGGGAAUAUUGCACAAUGGGCGCAAGCCUGAUGCAGCCAUGCCGCGUGUGUGAAGAAGCCUUCGGGUUGAAAGCACUUUCCGAGAGAAGGGGACCUAAUUCAAGU
rnacentral:rRNA from 1 species